CGUGCUUCCGGCGCGCCGCGCGGCCACGCGUCGCGCGGCCGUCGGUGUUCGACGACGGCGGCCGCCUACUCCAAUCUUGCUGCGCGGUGCUCUUCACCGAGUGCCGUCGGCGGGCCGACACGUUUACUUUGAACAAAUUAGAGUGCUCAAAGCAGGCUCGAAUCUGGCGGGGCGGCUUCACGGCCGUCUCGUCAAAAGGCCCUGAAUACUGGUCGCAUGGAAUAAUGGAACAAGACCUCGGUCCCGCGCAUCUCCGCCCUUCGCGGGCGCGCGAAAUCGCCCUCCGGGGCGUUUCCGUGCGCGGGCCGCCGGGCCGCGGGCGCCAGUCGCCCGCGCGUCCCGCCGGGCCGGUUUUCGGGACCGGAGGUAAUGAUCAACAGAGACGGGCGGGGGCAUUCGUACCGAGACGUUAGAGGUGAAAUUCUUGGAUCGUCUCGAGACGAACUGACGCGAAAGCAUUUGCCAAGUACGUUCUCGUAUGAUCAAGAACGAAAGUUAGAGGUUCGAAGGCGAUCAGAUACCGCCCUAGUUCUAACUGUAAACGAUGCCAGCUAGCGAUCCGCCGGCGUUUCAUUAACGACCCGGCGGGCAGCUUCCGGGAAACCGAAGCUUUUCGGUUCCGGGGGAAGUAUGAUUGCAAAGUUGAAACUUAAAGGAAUUGACGGAAGGGCACCACCAGGAGUGGAGCCUGCGGCUUAAUUUGACUCAACACGGGAAACCUCACCAGGCCCGGGACACCGGAAAGAUUGACAGAUUGAGAGCUCUUUCUUGAUUCGGUGGGUGGUGGUGCAUGGGCCGUUCUUAGUUGGUGGAGCGAUCUGUCUGGUUAAUUCCGAUAACGAACGAGACUCUGUCCUGCUAACUAGGCGGGUAAACCCGGGUCGGCGUGUGCGCGGCGCUGGCGGUUUCGGCCGUCAGUGUUCGCGUACCCGUCGGCUCGGCCCGGUAUCCCCGAACGCGUUCGCCCGUCGUCCACGGCGGUCGUCGGGCGCGGCCGCGCCAUCCGCGUCCCGGCGUUCGGCGGGCGUAUGUCGGCCGGGGGGCAACCUCCGGUCGGCCUGCGUCCGUCGUGCGUCGGGCUCCGUGGUGAAGCGCGCCGUGUUCGCGGCCGUCGCCGGCGGAUCACGAUACGUUACUAGGGCUACCGCCGGCUCCCAGGAGCUUAAACUCUUCUUAGAGGGACAGGCGGCGGACGAACAUAGCCGCACGAGACUGAGCGAUAACAGGUCUGUGAUGCCCUUAGAUGUUCUGGGCCGCACGCGCGCUACACUGAAGGAAUCAGCGUGUUUAACAAUCCUGGGCCGACAGGCUUCCGGGUAACCCGCUGAACCUCCUUCGUGCUUAGGGAUCGUGGCUUGCAAUUUUUCCACGUGAACGAG
rnacentral:ncRNA from 1 species